UAUAUUAUAAGUAGUUUAACUCACACAGAUGCCACUCCAAAUGUUGACAGGAUAUCAAGCCAGUUCUUAGAAGACAGCAGUGCGGUCAGAAUGAGAAGUCACUUGAUCAUUUAUACAGUUGAAGAAUGAAGCUGGACAACACAUUGACCAAUGAAGAUGCUUAGAAUCACAAGAGAGACUGAUAACAUUGACAUAAAAAUGAGGAAAAUAACACGCUGACAUAGGUUUGAAGUGACCUAAUGUGUUAAAAAUGCUGACUUUUUGUUAAGUUAAAUUGUCUUCCUGCUGUAUGUGAGAUGUAUGUGGUAAUGACAAAUCACAUUGUUUUUACAGAAGGAAAAUGGCCCACACAUCCCCCUCUCCUCCCCUCCCCAGUUCUUCAUCAACUGGCUCAAACAGGCCUUCAUCCAACCAUUUGUCCUGUUAGGUCAUCUCAAACCUCCGUCAACCACUUUGGCAGAAGGGAACUGUUUUGUAGCAUGUCAGUCACACUCAUUAAUCCUCUCUUUGUUGUUCUCCCUCCAAGGACAAAAUAGACACCACUUGAGGACCUCACUUAACACGAGUUAUCUCGAGUUUCCCACCUCAGCACAUGUGUGAUCACUGUAAUGUUUUGAGUCACAGUGCACUCCGUUUAUAGUGCAUAUAGGCCUACUGUACAUGUACUCUAACCCUGAGAGCCGGUUUGGAUUGUUGUGGAUUGCCUUUUGAUGAUUCUGGGCUCUUAUUGUGCUCCUCUAUAGUAGCUCUCACAUGUGUUUCCCACCAAUAUGUGUUAUUGUGAGUGUGAGCUAUUUUCUCUCUGUGUUGUUAUGCCUUCACCCACUACAGGUUUUCUGGCCGUGAUAUAGUAAAAAAGUUUGUGCACAUCCCAGGUCAAGGUGCAGAACAAGAGUAAAUCGUAAAAAAUUGAAAAACACUUUGGACACUUGAAAUCCUUCUUUUUGGUUUUAUUUUCUUUAGCACAGAAAUUAUGUUUCGACCCGUGUGGUCUUCUUCAGAUUCUGAUUUCUGGCUGUGAUGCCACGGUUGUACGGCAGCAUCUGCUGUGUUUGCCCGAUAUAUCCACAGCAAGGUCAAACAACAUGACAUGAUUCAGUACUCAAGGUCAUUGGCUUAAAGGUCAAGGUCACAUGCAGUUCCUUUUUCCUUUUCUUCCUUUGAUUGGUUCAUGUGUUGACCAACCGUUGUCUUCUUUCCUAUAAAUGAAGUGACACACUUUCUGACCUUCUAAUAGCAAGGACUCGACUGAACACCCUGCACAAUUCUGUGGAAUUUGGGUGUUUUGUUUGCUCUGUCCAAGGGUCGUAUUGGCCAGGAUAUUCUAGACCGCUGGGCUUUGCACCACACCAACGUGGCCAAUGGCACGGGAAGCUCCGCCUGCGCCAGAGUGACAGGACCGGGCGAUGAGACGGGCGAUGAGACGGACGGGGAGCAGAUUGCACCAGGAAAUUCUGUGUCCUUUCCCAGCGGAAAGGGCGGAAUCGGCGUGAACGCCGAUAAUGCGGAUAACGCAGAUAACGAUGACGACCGCAACCAUUAGCCUACCGGCCUCACGAGAAGUCAAUUCAGAAUGAAGUGUGAUAGCCAGAGCUGGUUGUGCUAUCAUAUUAGCUAAAUAUGGGAGCAUUUGGCAAGCUGAAAAUUAAACAGAAAUUCUUUUGACUUGUCUAAUGAUCCGAACGGAGACAGUAGACAGAAUUUUGAGAAGUGGUCAUGAACGCAAGAUCACAACACUGAAUAUGACUUCAAUGUUCCUUUAGGUCCAAACAUGAUCAUUCCUGAUGAAUACCUGCUCUGGGUGUUGGUACUAUAACUGCUCCUCCUUGUUCUAAAUAAAACAUCAAAGCAUUUGCAACACA